rnacentral:rRNA from 1 species
UACGGAGGGUGCAAGCGUUAAUCGGAAUUACUGGGCGUAAAGCGCACGUAGUCGGCUUUGCAAGUCGGUUGUGAAGUCCCCGGGCUCAACCUGGGAACUGCAUCCGAGACUGCAUUGCUAGAGUAUGGGAGAGGAAAGCGGAAUUUCUGGUGUAGCAGUGAAAUGCGUAGAUAUCAGAAGGAACAUCAGUGGCGAAGGCGGCUUUCUGGACCAAUACUGACGAUCAGGUGCGAAAGCGUGGGGAGCAAACAGG